GUCAGCAGCCGCGGUAACACCGGCGGCCCGAGUGGUGAUCGUGAUUAUUGGGUCUAAAGGGUCCGUAGCCGGUUUGGUCAGUCCUCCGGGAAAUCUGAUAGCUCAACUAUUAGGCUUUCGGGGGAUACUGCCAGACUUGGAACCGGGAGAGGUAAGAGGUACUACAGGGGUAGGAGUGAAAUCUUGUAAUCCCUGUGGGGACCACCUGUGGCGAAGGCGUCUUACCAGAACGGGUUCGACGGUGAGGGACGAAAGCUGGGGGCACGAACCGGAUUAGAUACCCGGGUAGUCCCAGCCGUAAACGAUGCUCGCUAGGUGUCAGGCAUGGCGCGACCGUGUCUGGUGCCGCAGGGAAGCCGUGAAGCGAGCCACCUGGGAAGUACGGCCGCAAGGCUGAAACUUAAAGGAAUUGGCGGGGGAGCACAACAACGGGUGGAACGCCUGCGGUUUAAUUGGACUCAACGCCGGACAACUCACCGGGGGCGACAGCAAUAUGUAGGCCAAGCUGAAGACUUUGCCUGAAUCGCUGAGAGGAGGUGCAUGG
rnacentral:rRNA from 1 species